CCCUUAGAUGUCCUGGGCCGCACGCGCGCUACACUGAUGCAUUCAACGAGUAUUUCCUUGGCCGAGAGGCCUGGGCAAUCUUUUAAACCUGCAUCGUGAUAGGGAUAGAUUAUUGCAAUUAUUAAUCUUGAACGAGGAAUUCCUAGUAAACGCAAAUCAUCAAUUUGCAUUGAUUACGUCCCUGCCCUUUGUACACACCACCCGUCGCACCUACCGAUUGAAUGGUCCGGUGAAAUCUCGGGAUUGUGGCCAGUUCACUUUAUUGGGAGUUGGCUGCGAGAACUUGCUUAAACCUUAUCAUUUAGAGGAAGGUGAAGUCGUAACA
rnacentral:rRNA from 1 species